rnacentral:rRNA from 1 species
GACGGAGGAUGCAAGCGUUAUCGGGAAUGAUUGGGCGUAAAGCGUCCGCAGGUGGCAGUUCAAGUCUGCUGUCAAAGACCGGGGCUUAACUUCGGAAAGGCAGUGGAAACUGAACAGCUAGAGUAUGGUAGGGGCAGAGGGAAUUCCUGGUGUAGCGGUGAAAUGCGUAGAGAUCAGGAAGAACAUCGGUGGCGAAGGCGCUCUGCUGGACCAUAACUGACACUCAGGGACGAAAGCUAGGGGAGCGAAUGGG